GCAACAUCGUUCGACACGCGAGUCAUUUGAUUUUACUGACUGGACUUCGUGGAAGAGCAACGCCUGUUACUGUGACUGUACCACCAAACAACGCCUUGUCGACGACACUAGAACAAGGACUUGCCUCAAGGACAGCUGCAUUGGCGAGACGAACCAGAAACGAACCCGGGUCUGCAGAACCACGUGUAAGGAUUGCGUCCUCGGGAAUUAGUUCCGGUCUGACAGAAUACAAAGAAUAAUAUUCUGAAAAUGGAUUCAAGAUAUGGUUGCGCAUUCAUCACUGACUAGAGAGGGAUUCACAAAGCUGAACAUGUUUCGGUGCAAAUACUGAUAUUUGAAAGUAUUUCUAGGGGAAAAUCAACACGGUAUCUGCAUAUAUUAUUUGAAGACAUGUCUAUCUUGGAGGGCCAACGACUUUUGCAUUUUGUUUUCUUUUAACUUGCUUUCGGGAUUUACAAAGAAAUAAAUCAA